AUGCAUGAUGUUAUUCGCUCAUUUGCUCAGUAUAUGAUAAAAGAUGAAGCACUCAUAGUUCAUGAUGGAGACAUCGAUAAUCUAACUAAACUUCAUUCACAAAAGUUUCUUCGGUUAUCAAUAGAAACCAACCGCUUGCAGUCUGGUGAUAUUGACUGGAAAUCUUUACAGGAGCAGAAAUCAGUGAGAACAUUAAUCUCAACUAUUCAGAUCAAGAUGAAGCCCAGUGAUUUAUUGGUUACUUUUUCUGGUCUACGGAUUCUACAUAUAGAAUCUGUAGAUGUGGCUGCAUUGGUUGAAUCGUUGCACCAGCUGAAGCACCUGAGAUAUGUGGCACUAUUAAAUACUGAUAUAUCUGUACUUCCGGUGAACUUUGACAAGAUGAAAUUAUUGCAAUUCCUUAGGCUUGAUGGAUGUAAAAAUUUACUGAAUCUUCCUGAUAGCAUUGUGAAGCUUGGCCAGCUGAGGUUACUUGAUCUUCCCAGCAGAUGUAUGAUACCUAGAGGGUUCUGUGGUCUGACAAAUAUGAGAAGACUACAUGGGUUUCGGGCCCACAUGGAUGGUGAUUGGUGCAGUUUGGACGAGUUGGGGCCUCUUUCCCAACUCAGAUUUCUUGAAUUAAUACAUUUGGAGAAUGUAUCUGCUGCUUCAUUUGCUGCAAAUGCUAGGCUUGGUGAGAAAAUACAUCUUAUCGACGUAUUCUUGUACUGCACUAGCAAACUAGGAGAUGAUGGGUUGGUCAAAGAAAAAGAAGGUGUCUCCGAGGAAGAGCAACAACAAAUCGAGAAGGUGUUCGAUGAGCUCUAUCCUCCACCCAGUGUAGAAUUUAUUCAUAUCGAUGGGUAUUUUGGCCAGCUACUCCCGAGUUGGAUGAUGUCCACGUCAAAGGUGUCCCUGAACAACUUAAAGUUUCUCACAUUUUCUGACCUAGCUUGUUGCAAACAACUUCCCAAUGGAUUGUGUCAGCUCCCCUACCUGCAGUUCUUUCAGGUCGCCCGUGCUCCAUGCAUCAGGCGUGUUGGGACUAGAUUCUUGCAGGCCGUGGCAACUCCAUUUCCGAGUUUAAAAGAGAUGAGCUUUAGAGAAAUGGUGGAAUGGGAGGAGUGGGAAUGGGAGGAGCAAGUACAAGCCAUGCCCCGUUUGGAGAAGCUUUGGCUCAUUAAUUGCAAACUGAGGCGUGCUCCUCCUGGCCUUGCCUCCAAUGCAAUGGCUUUGAAAGUUUUAUACGUACAUGAUGUCCAACACCUCAGCUACCUUGAGAACUUUCCUUCUGUCAUUGAGCUUACAGUGGUUAGAAGCCUCGACCUUGAGAGGAUCACCAAUCUCCCCAAUCUGCAGAAGCUUACCAUCACCAUUUGCCCAAAGUUGAAGGUGCUGGGGAGUAUCCCUGCACUCGACAGGUUGGUCCUAGAGGAUUACACCAUGGAAACACUUCCAGAAUACAUGCGAGGUAUAAAGCCAAAGCAUUUUCAGUUAUUCUGCCGGCCAUGGUUGCUCUCUUCGGUAGCCAUGGGACAAUCUGGUCCUGAGUGGGACAAGUUCAGCCAUGUGGAGCAUGUCAAGGCAUAUUCGCCUGAUGGAGACAACCAAAGGAAAUGGUACGUGUUGUACACAAGAAGAGACAACUUCAAGUUGGAUUCAAAUAUUAGCUGCUCUUCCGUAUUUGAAGGAACCUUAUCAUCUUGUAUGGUGGAUGCACAAGGAUUUGAGUCUGUGUACAAAAUGAGAAGAAGUACCUUUAAUUACAUCUGCAGCUUGGUGAGGGUGCCCUUUUUCGAAGAUAUGAUGGCAACGGAUCACACGUUUGUUGAUGGAGGAGCAUUGUCUUUACAAGAUCGAGUAGCUCUCGCUCUGGUAAUGCUGAACUCUGGCAAGCCACCGGUUACUGUAGGAUCCUCUCUUGGUGUGAACGAGUCAACUGUCUCACUGGUAACUCAGGUGUUUGUUGAAGCUAUGUGGGAGCGAGCCUUGCACCACUUCAGCUGGCCUGGCUCCGCUAGAAUGGAGAUGAUCAAGCGCAAGUUUGACAGGAUCCACGGCCUGCCAAAUUGUUGUGGUGUUGUACAUACAACCCACAUCAAAUUUGGAUCACAAAAUUGUGACCAUGAAGAGUAUGCCGACACGCUAAUGCAAGCUGUCGUUGAUCCAGAUAUGAGGUUCACAAACACCCGCUUCAGGCUGUCAGGUAGCAUGAUGAACCAAUUGGGCGUUUUGCAUGACUCAGAUCUCUUCAAGAUGGGCGAGGAUGGUUCUUGCCUGAAUGGCAGUAAGCUGAAGUUAUCAGAUGGCUCGGAUGUCGGGGAAUACAUCAUUGGUGCUGCAGGAUAUCCUCUCCGUCCCUGGUUACUCACACCUUACCAUGACCUCUCAGACACGGAUUCCAAACUUGAGUUCGAUAGGAGAAUACACUCUGCAACUACAGCUGUCGCACUGAGGGCGCUGGCAAGGUUGAAAGGCACAUGGAAAUGCCUGCAGGGAGAAGGGUGGCAUCCAAAUGAUCAACGCGACGUGUUCUUGACCAUCCACACGUGCUGCAUGUUGCAUAACAUUGUGAUAGACAUGGAGGAGGAGGAGGAGGUGGGUGCAGGCAUGCCGAGCGAUCAGGAGGAUAAUUACAUCGAGCAAGUGCGGCGGGUAGCAGAUGAGGACGCCAUCGGUGUGAGGGAUGCACUAUCCCAGCAUUUGAUUGCAUCUGGAGAGGAGGAACAAGAAGCAGUAGUUGCAUCUGGCCCAGGAGAUGAAAACAAGGAAUAA
rnacentral:rRNA from 1 species